GACUUUCACUUGAGCCCUGUCUAUUUCCUCACAUAGUUUGAUUUGUCCUGCAUUAUAUUGGUACUGAAAUACAUAAUGCGUGCACAUGUCUUCUGUUGGAUGUUUCAGAGAUGCUUAUGCAGGGUUUCUUUAAUCAUUUUGGUUCAUGGUACCAGCUAAUGAAAUUUACGUGCUCUGAUGAUGAAUUCGUGCCAUGUCGAGUUGGAUUGGCGGUGGCGUAUUUUUCCUCUUGUAGUCAAAUUAGUGAGAUGCUCCGUUCUCUUCUUUAUGUGAACGUACAUGUAUGACCAGUGUAAUUAGGUGCAGUAGUUUUGGUCAAUGUCAAAGCAGAAGAGAGCUACAUGUAUGACCAGUAUUGAAUCACGGCGAGAGAGUAAUGUAGCUUCGUCCCUCCCUGAUGCUGCUAAUGCAAGAUGCAUAGGAAUCUUAUUCAAUAUCAAAAAUUGACAUACCGUGCAAUCAUGUCUAAUGUCUUUCAUUAAAUCUCCGCGGAGGUGCCGGCCGGCCGGUACAUAUCCCGAUCUACUUGGAUGUGCAGACCUGGGAGUUGGAACAAUUCACCAAGAGAAGCCAGUUCGUGUAUAACAGAAUGGGUGGAAUUUAUCAUGAGAUCCUACCCAAAUCCGAGUACUUUUCCAAGGCACUGUACACCUUCCAUUUCGCCCAAAACAAUCUCUCUGUGGGCUACUUCACCAAUAAGACUACCAAACAGAUUGAGGCCUAUGACCCCGAUCCAAAGGAGCGGUUCACUGUGGCAAUGCAGAUGCCCCGAGAAGAGGUAGUAGUGGUGGUGCGGGCGCGCCGUGGGCGAGGUGGGCUCCGGGUGUAGCGGCGGGGCCGGCUGCCCCAUCGAUGGCAGCGCGAUGCCCCCCGUCGUCGGGGGUACGCCACCGGACAUUGGCGGUGACCGGAGACUGUCGCGGCGAUUGUUGGUCGGUUGAGGAGCUUGCAAUACGAGCUGGUAGCGCCAGCGUUGGCGAGAGAGUGAGGUGUCCCCAGUGCAGUAGGCGGGGGAAAGCUUAAGGCGACCGGUGCCCUCCGGUCCUCAUCGCUGCACGUCGAGGUCAAGUCUGAGGCUGCGAGCUGAUGCAUCCACAAACAUCAUCGUCGACUGCAUCUUCAACCUCCGGACGCCGCUUCCGUACACUGCUUCAUCAACCUCAGCCGUGACCCUUCCUCCCGGUCGCCGUGUUUAAUAUCCUACUCGUCUGCCGCCUAUCUCGAGCACCGCGAGCGAAGGUGGAUGCCCUGACUGCCGAUCACCAAGAAACUCCGCGGAAAGCUGCUGCAGAUAGGUGUUGUGCUGGUAUAUUCUUUUUGUAGCCUUUGUUCAGGUAAAUCAGACCAAGACUCGAAGACUAUAGAUAGCCACUCUUUUUUUACCAACCUUUGUUUUUGUUAAUAAUGAGUUUGACAAUGAAGUGACUACAUCUCCAUCUUUUCACCUUUGUUUCUACUGAGCUUCUCAAAGGUCCAUUCCUGUAAUAUUUUGGAGGACAUCUCCCAUUACAAUCGUUGGGGGUUUUCAAUUUAUGAGUAAGGUACGCGAAGCUCCCUUACAAACCCGACAAAUCGUACUUCGGAAUCAUUGCAUUUUUCUUCAUCGGCUUCGUCACAUCAAACACGUAAGCAAAAGGCAAUAUAUAUACUACUGGACCCUGAAGCCCCAAAUCAUCUUCUGUUUUCUAUGUACUCCCAUGAUUAUUUAGCAAAUGCCAAAAAUAGUGUUUCUUUCAUGCGUACAUCGUUUCGUUUGGAGUUUUGCCCACUUGAUCUGAAUAUGAGGAAGGACAAAUAUCUUGUAGCAGAUCAGAUUCAGGUCAUGACAUGAUUCCUUAAGGGCCUCAUUACUGGUGGUGUUUCUUUCUUCCAUGGUGAUUCCUAUUGUUCAUAGUUGUACUAGCAGGAUUAUCAUAACAACUAAGCAAAUGCCAAGCUGGAAAUUUGAAGAUAAAAAAUUGAGGCGUGUGAUCAGGUGUCAAUACUUAAAGAAAGAGCCUUUAGUUUUUCUUAAUCAGAAUGCAGAAAUUUAAGCAUGUAGAUCUUUGAUGAAAACAUAAUUAAGAUAUUGCGGACGUAAUCUCAUGUUACCUUUGUAUUAUGUUAGCCUACUAAUUUACUAUAUCCAGGUCAUAAUAUUGUUGCUAUUUUCAUGAACUACGUAAUGGUUAAUGACACAACUCGAUGAACUAAGUAUUGAGAGCAUGGGCUGUUGCGGUGGACCGGUGGUAACGACAAGCUCAGAGGGUUUUGCCACUGUGAUCAUGUUGGUCGUGCUAGCACUGACAACGUAUAGUAUACAAUAUACUGCCGGGACCAGUGACACUUAUUCUACUUCCUUAACAGCGGGCAAAUUGGUAAUUUUUGGUCGAUAUAGCAAGUUUGAGAAGACCCAAUUUUGUUAUACUAUGUAAGUUGAUACACUUUUUAUAUGUUCGAUUGGUGAUAUUGGAAAUAGCUAAGCUUA